AAACUAAAGGAAUCAGCCCCAUCAAGGAUAGUAAAUGUGUCUUCCCUCGCACAUCACCUGGGAAGGAUCCACUUCCAUAACCUGCAGGGCGAGAAAUUCUACAAUGCAGGCCUGGCCUACUGUCACAGCAAGCUAGCCAACAUCCUCUUCACCCAGGAACUGGCCCGGAGACUAAAAGGCUCUGGCGUUACGACGUAUUCUGUACACCCUGGCACAGUCCAAUCUGAACUGGUUCGGCACUCAUCUUUCAUGAGAUGGAUGUGGUGGCUUUUCUCCUUUUUCAUCAAGACUCCUCAGCAGGGAGCCCAGACCAGCCUGCACUGUGCCUUAACAGAAGGUCUUGAGAUUCUAAGUGGGAAUCAUUUCAGUGACUGUCAUGUGGCAUGGGUCUCUGCCCAAGCUCGUAAUGAGACUAUAGCAAGGCGGCUGUGGGACGUCAGUUGUGACCUGCUGGGCCUCCCAAUAGACUAACAGGCAGUGCCAGUUGGACCCAAGAGAAGACUGCAGCAGACUACACAGUACUUCUUGUCAAAAUGAUUCUCCUUCAAGGUUUUCAAAACCUUUAGCACAAAGAGAGCAAAACCUUCCAGCCUUGCCUGCUUGGUGUCCAGUUAAAACUCAGUGUACUGCCAGAUUCGUCUAAAUGUCUGUCAUGUCCAGAUUUACUUUGCUUCUGUUACUGCCAGAGUUACUAGAGAUAUCAUAAUAGGAUAAGAAGACCCUCAUAUGACCUGCACAGCUCAUUUUCCUUCUGAAAGAAACUACUACCUAGGAGAAUCUAAGCUAUAGCAGGGAUGAUUUAUGCAAAUUUGAACUAGCUUCUUUGUUCACAAUUCAGUUCCUCCCAACCAACCAGUCUUCACUUCAAGAGGGCCACACUGCAACCUCAGCUUAACAUGAAUAACAAAGACUGGCUCAGGAGCAGGGCUUGCCCAGGCAUGGUGGAUCACCGGAGGUCAGUAGUUCAAGACCAGCCUGGCCAACAUGGUGAAACCCCACCUCUACUAAAAAUUGUGUAUAUCUUUGUGUGUCUUCCUGUUUAUGUGUGCCAAGGGAGUAUUUUCACAAAGUUCAAAACAGCCACAAUAAUCAGAGAUGGAGCAAACCAGUGCCAUCCAGUCUUUAUGCAAAUGAAAUGCUGCAAAGGGAAGCAGAUUCUGUAUAUGUUGGUAACUACCCACCAAGAGCACAUGGGUAGCAGGGAAGAAGUAAAAAAAGAGAAGGAGAAUACUGGAAGAUAAUGCACAAAAUGAAGGGACUAGUUAAGGAUUAACUAGCCCUUUAAGGAUUAACUAGUUAAGGAUUAAUAGCAAAAGAUAUUAAAUAUGCUAACAUAGCUAUGGAGGAAUUGAGGGCAAGCACCCAGGACUGAUGAGGUCUUAACAAAAACCAGUGUGGC
rnacentral:lncRNA from 10 species